UUAUUAAAUAUAAAAGUGACAUUUGCAUUAAUUUGAUGUAAUUGUACCUAUUAUGGCACACAUUAUUUUCUGCUGGAUUUCUUGUUGAAUAUAUGUCUAAAUUUGCCCCUUGGACAGUAAGUGCUAAAUAGAUCUGGUGUAGGAAACUGGUUACAUAUGAGCCUGACCUGACUAUAUAUGAGCUUCAUCAAUAGCUUGUGGUAGUUAGAAGAGUGAAUAUAUAUGAUCUUACUAUGUUCUUUGCUUUGGAUGAAAAUACAAUA
rnacentral:lncRNA from 1 species